rnacentral:rRNA from 1 species
UACGAAGGGGGCUAGCGUUGCUCGGAAUCACUGGGCGUAAAGCGCACGUAGGCGGCUUUCUAAGUCAGGGGUGAAAUCCUGGAGCUCAACUCCAGAACUGCCUUUGAUACUGGAGAGCUUGAGUCCGGAAGAGGUGAGUGGAACUCCGAGUGUAGAGGUGAAAUUCGUAGAUAUCGAGAGGAACACCGGUGGCGAAGGCGGCCUUCUGGACAGUGACUGACGCUGAGACGCGAAAGCGUGGGGAGCAAACAGG